UACGUAGGGGGCAAGCGUUGUCCGGAUUUAUUGGGCGUAAAGAGCGUGUAGGCGGCCACACAGGUCUGCUGUGAAAACUCGAGGCUCAACCUCGAGCUGUCGGUGGAAACCGUGUGGCUAGAGUCCGGAAGAGGAGAAUGGAAUUCCCGGUGUAGCGGUGAAAUGCGCAGAUAUCGGGAAGAACACCCGUGGCGAAGGCGGUUCUCUGGGACGGUACUGACGCUGAGACGCGAAAGCGUGGGGAGCGAACAGG
rnacentral:rRNA from 1 species